rnacentral:rRNA from 1 species
CCUACGGGAGGCAGCAGUAGGGAAUCUUCCACAAUGGACGAAAGUCUGAUGGAGCAACGCCGCGUGAGUGAAGAAGGGUUUCGGCUCGUAAAACUCUGUUGUUGGAGAAGAACGUAUUUGAUUGUAACUGAUCAGGUAGUGACGG